CUCGUUCACACAACGUGCUCGCUAAUUGACUCAAUUGGGACUCUAACUUAGAGACGGCUUGCACAUUAGAAUGCAAAAGUUGCCUAUCUUGAGUUAAAGUUUGCAUGAAAGUUUGUUGGGAUUGGGUCAAGUUAGUUUGCGAUUUCACUAAGGCCUCUAUGCUCUUCUCUAAGGAAUUGAGUCUCUUAUCCGAAUCAUUAAAACCGGGAGGAUUUAACGGGGCUUGACUCGGGUUUUGAUAAUUCGGAAAAGAAUUGGGAUUGGGCCUAGGGAAAUUAGGUUGUGGAGUUUGAAAGUUUUGACCUUGGUUCCACGAGAAAUUCGGGUGAUUCUUCCACCCGGGGUUGUAGGUUGGUGCAAAAGGAUC
rnacentral:lncRNA from 1 species